rnacentral:snRNA from 1 species
GUGCUCACUUCGGCAGCACAUAUACUAAAACUGGAACGAUACAAAGAAGAUUAGCAUGGCCCCUGUGCAAGGAUGACACGCAAAUUCAUGAAGCAUAUUUUU